UACGUAGGGUGCAAGCGUUGUCCGGAUUUAUUGGGCGUAAAGAGCUCGUAGGCGGUCUGUCGCGUCGGAUGUGAAAACCCAGGGCUCAACCCUGGACCUGCAUUCGAUACGGGCAGACUAGAGUUCGGCAGGGGAGACUGGAAUUCCUGGUGUAGCGGUGAAAUGCGCAGAUAUCAGGAGGAACACCGGUGGCGAAGGCGGGUCUCUGGGCCGAUACUGACGCUGAGGAGCGAAAGCGUGGGGAGCGAACAGG
rnacentral:rRNA from 1 species